rnacentral:rRNA from 1 species
CCUACGGGUGGCAGCAGUGAGGAAUCUUGGUCAAUGGACGAGAGUCUGAACCAGCCAAGUAGCGUGAAGGAUGACUGCUCUAUGGGUUGUAAACUUCUUUUAUAUGGGAAUAAAACGUUCCUCGUGUGGGACUUUGUAUGUACCAUAUGAAUUUGGAUCGGCUAACGCCGGGCCAGCAGCCGCGGUAAUACGGAGGAUCCGAGCGUUAUCCGGAUUUAUUGGGUUUAAAGGGAGCGUAGGUGGAUUGUUAAGUCAGUUGUGAAAGUUUGCGGCUCAACCGGAAAAUUGCAGUUGAAACUGGCAGUCUUGAGUACAGUAGAGGUGAGCGGAAUUCGAGGUGUAGCGGUGGAAUGCUUAGAUAUCACGAAGAACUCCGAUUGCGAAGGCAGUUCACUGGACUGCAACUGACACUGAGGCUCGAAAGUGUGGGUAGCAAACAGGAUUAGAUACCCUUGUAGUC